UACGUAGGGGCCUAGCGUUGUCCGGAUUUAUUGGGCGUAAAGAGCUCGUAGGCGGUUCGGUAAGUCAGGUGUGAAAUCUCCACGCUCAACGUGGAGGGGCCACCUGAUACUGCCGUGACUCGAGUCCGGUAGGGGAGUGUGGAAUUCCCGGUGUAGCGGUGGAAUGCGCAGAUAUCAGGAGGAACACCGGUGGCGAAGGCGGGUCUCUGGGCAGUAACUGACGCUGAGGAGCGAAAGCGUGGGGAGCGAACAGG
rnacentral:rRNA from 1 species